GGGAAUCCGAUGUGAGUUCUGUGAUUCUUUCGGACUACACCCGGAAAAAGCAUUGAACUUGCGAGACACGGACUUGUUCAGUAACUGUGAUACUUGAGAAGACUUCAUGCUUUGGUGUUAUCUACUGUUGUCCUAGUAAAUGUCCAAGGCAUUUCGUUGUCUAAGUUACUGUCCUCGAUUAUGUUGUAUGGAUACGUGGGUAUUCUAUUACUGUGGCUUACAAUGUUGCUCUUUUUAUGCAUACUGUGCAGUGAUCCUUGGGGUCAUUGAAUGCUUUCAAGACAAAUCGUUUUGUGGGAUUUUCUUUCUUAAAAUAGAGGUCACUGCUAGCCUGCUAGAUUGUCAUUUAUAACGGAGUGUAGUAUGUCUCUCAUCUGUACCUUGCAUUUUUAAGGCAGUACCAUGCAUUUAAUAUCUCUGCUAGGUACUCCUCGUUUGGUUCAAGUAAAUGCUCAGCUAUUCAUAGCUUUCUUGUGCUGUACCACAGUACCAGCCUGUCGUGUAACCAUUUCAUUAUGUCAAAAUUGUCUUGUUUUGAAGUUUCCUGACUUACCUAUGUUGAUUGAGGUUAUGCUGAAGUGUACUCAUUUUGGUAUUCUUCGAUUGAGGUUAUGCUGAAGUGUGCUCGUUCUGAUAUUUUUUGUAUGCUCACCUGGUUUUUCAUCCUUUUAACCAUCUGUCUGUCCUUGUUAAUGAGCGGCUUUCGAGUUAGAGAUUGAAUUCUGAGCUGCAUGGUUGGAAUGAUCUUCAUCUGAUGGCAAGUUUCACGCCUGACAACAGUUCCGGCUUGAUGCCAUGAUGGAGCUGAUGGUCUGGUAUUGAUGGAGCAUCCAGAGUUGUUUUUUUUACAUCUGUUUAUCAGGUGUGAACCUCCAUCUUCUGUUUAUUGUUUUAUUCAUGCAAGGUUCCUUGCGCUGUUUCGACAUGUGUUGCUUAACAUCGCUCUUAGAUGUUACUGCUUCUUUCAUGGUUUCUUUUGCUCAACAAUUUGCUGAUUGUUUCUACAGUACCACUGACUUGUCCUGGCAUUGUUGUUGAUUUUCGGUGGCACAUUUU
rnacentral:lncRNA from 1 species